UACAGAGGGGGCAAGCGUUGUUCGGAAUUACUGGGCGUAAAGGGCGCGUAGGUGGCCUUCUAAGUUGAACGUGAAAUCCCUCGGCUCAACUGAGGAACUGCCUUUGAAACUGCAGGGCUUGAGGCCGGGAGGGGGUAGCGGAAUUCCCAAUGUAGCGGUGAAAUGCGUAGAUAUUGGGAGGAACACCAGUGGCGAAGGCGGCUACCUGGACCGGUUCUGACGCUGAGGCGCGAAAGCGUGGGUAGCAAACAGG
rnacentral:rRNA from 1 species